rnacentral:rRNA from 1 species
AGAGUUUGAUCAUGGCUCAGAACGAACGCUGGCGGCAGGCUUAACACAUGCAAGUCGAACGAUCCUUCGGGAUAGUGGCAGACGGGUGAGUAACGCGUGGGAACCUACCUAAUAGUACGGAAUAGCCUCGGGAAACUGGGAAUAAUACCGUAUACGCCCCUAAGUUGUGGAGAUUUAGGGGGAAAGAUUUAUCGCUAUUAGAUGGGCCCGCGUUAGAUUAGAUAGUUGGUGGGGUAACGGCCUACCAAGUCUACGAUCUAUAGCUGGUCUGAGAGGAUGAU